AUGCGCUACCGCGCCGACGCCUACAAGAUCGCGACGCUCUGCUCUCACCGGCGAUCCGGAGCCAAGCAAUACGACGUCUGUACCUACGACUCCGGCGCCGACGCCUGGACCCGCACGCCUACUGCCUUUCCGCCGCCGCAGGACGCUCUGGCAAAGCAUCUCCCAAAGGAUGUUCUCUACCUGAUGACGAAUGCCGGCCCACACGACGACCACGAGUCGUGGGUGGUUUCGAUCGACAUGAGGAAGAAGACGGUGGAGCGAGUGGCCAAGUUCACCAGACAAGGAGAAGCUUGCAUGGACUUCGCCUACAUGCGCACUUCCAUCUCCAACUAUCUUGCUCCAAGAAGAGAUGGAAAGGGCAACAACAACAUGAAGCGACGAGGAUUGUUGUUGCCAAGAUACAUCGGCAAGAAGCCGCGGGUGAUCGGUUUCAUGCCCUCCUCCGGGUAUGGUUGCGAUCGAGUGAACGGAGGGGGUGAUGAUGGGGAUGAUAUGGACUUGGAUUAG
rnacentral:rRNA from 1 species